rnacentral:rRNA from 1 species
AAACCAACCGGGAUUGCCUUAGUAACGGCGAGUGAAGCGGCAAAAGCUCAAAUUUGAAAUCUAGUACCUUUGGUGCUCGAGUUGUAAUUUGUAGAGGGAUACUUUGGGGCCGUCUCUUAUCUAUGUUCCUUGGAACAGGACGUCAUAGAGGGUGAGAAUCCCGUAUGAUGAGAGUCGCGGUUCUAUGUAAAGUUCCUUCGAAGAGUCGAGUUGUUUGGGAAUGCAGCUCUAAGUGGGUGGUAAAUUCCAUCUAAAGCUAAAUAUUGGCGAGAGACCGAUAGCGAACAAGUACAGUGAUGGAAAGAUGAAAAGAACUUUGAAAAGAGAGUGAAAAAGUACGUGAAAUUGUUGAAAGGGAAGGGCAUUUGAUCAGACAUGGUGUUUUGCGCCCUCUGCUCCUUGUGGGUGGGGGACUCUCGCAGCUCACUGGGCCAGCAUCAGUUUUGGCGGUAGGAUAAAUCCAUAGGAAUGUAGCUUGCCUCGGUAAGUGUUAUAGCCUGUGGGAAUACUGCCAGCCGGGACUGAGGACUGCGACAUUCGUCAAGGAUGCUGGCAUAAUGGUUAUAUGCCGC